rnacentral:rRNA from 1 species
UACGUAGGGUGCAAGCGUUGUCCGGAAUUAUUGGGCGUAAAGAGCUCGUAGGCGGUUUGUUGCGUCGGCUGUGAAAUCCCGAGGCUCAACCUCGGGUCUGCAGCCGAUACGAGCAAACUAGAGUGUUGCAGGGGAGACUGGAAUUCCUGGUGUAGCGGUGAAAUGCGCAGAUAUCAGGAGGAACACCGGUGGCGAAGGCGGGUCUCUGGGCCGAUACUGACGCUGAGGAGCGAAAGCGUGGGGAGCAAACAGG